UUCAUCCAUCCAUCCUUUGCGCAACAAUAUUUGAUGGGAAGCCUGCCAAGUUUUCAGAUUACUCCAUUUGAUUCUCACAAGAACAUCGUAAAUGGAAAAGACUAGAAUUGCCCUGAGUUCACAGAUUGGUCAUCGAGGUCAAAGAAAUCAAGUGACUUCUGGAGGCCACACAGCUAAUAAACAGCAAGGCAAUGACUUGAACCCAGGUCUUCUGGUUCCAGGUCCAGAGCUCUUUUCUCUAUAUUCUAAACACUUGCAAGCAGGGGAAAUGUUAUCAGUCCCCUACACUCUCCAGUGACUAUUCUGUGUCUUUCCUAGGGUUUUAGGUGAGCUCAAUUUGAUAGAGGUAUACAACAUAAAGUAUAACUCAAGACUUCA
rnacentral:lncRNA from 10 species